rnacentral:snoRNA from 1 species
GAUCAGUGAUGAAACUAUCCCGAACCUGAUUCCUUGAUGAAAAAACUUCAUACGGAUCUGGCUUCUGAGGU